CUGAUUCUGAGACUAAGGUUCAUUCUGUUAUGCUGUCCAAUUAAAGAGAGAUAAUAUAUCAUUAAAAACAUUGCUUAGUCUAUAUAUCAUCUUUCUGGGCUCCAAAUUCAAUGUGGGGUGCGGAGGAUAAAGGUCUCAGUUUUCCUCUCCAUUCACCACACAAACUAGGCACAGUGUCUUUGAAAGGUCUGGCAGAAUUUUAAAUAUAAAAGGAUCCAGCCUCCUCAAAAGGAGCCGUAGUGAAGGCAAGAAGCGCUGGGUGAUUGUCUUGGCUCACUCAACAAAACAAAAAGACAUCAUUUUUCCACACCGGUGCAUCUGUCAUGAUCCCUGGAGAAAGAGUGGAACAAGGAGGGAGAAGAUCUGAUCUUUCCAGCAUUUCAAGGUUUCUCUCCAUCUGAUGCUCACUUGACUCUCUGACUCCUAUUGAUGUUUAACAUAUUUUUAUUAUACUGGGAUUACUGAGGUUGAGAGAAAACGACUGCCACUUGGUCAGAAAUCAGCCAUAUUCUGCUGUACUCCUACUGACAGAGAAGAGAAUCAACCAUUUCUGAGCAUGCUCCCUCUGAUAAGCAGUGUCGGGGUCCUUCUUGCGCACUGUUCCACCUGAUCUUCUCAAACAGGUUGUACAGAUGAGAAAACUGAAGCAGAGUGAGUCCAAGUGACUUUCCUAAAUGACUGUAAAGUGGCAGAGAAGUUUGUAAACAAAGUCUGAUAACUAAAAAGCCUAGACUUUUCCCCAUUGUAUCUCAAUGCCUCUGCCAUGAGUGACUUACUGGGAAGAACAGAAUCUAUAAACAAAUGUACUUGCAUCCAUAUACAUAUGCAGACUUUGAUGCUAUUCUUUUAUAACUAGGAAUACUGGUUUUUGCUAUUUUUCAUCCUGAAGAAUAGGAAGAUUGAUACUAAACCAACGAGACAACUUCUUAAUGAGGGUUCUAUUAUAAUGAUUAUAUUGUUAUGACACCAAUUUUCAUCACUUACAUAAGAAUUUUAUUGCAAUUAAAGCAUCACUUUAUAAACAACUCAUCAGAGUAAUUUCAUAAAUGUAGCCUAUUAAAAUUUACAUUUCACUCAUAUCGUGUCUCCUGGGAUCAAGUUCAGAAUAAUAAAUUGUUCCUUUUACUCUUUUUGAAAAAUCA
rnacentral:lncRNA from 1 species